rnacentral:rRNA from 1 species
CUAGUUCGGAUUGUAGGCUGAAACUCGCCUACAUGAAGCUGGAAUUGCUAGUAAUCACAGGUCAGCAUACUGUGGUGAAUACGUUCCCGGGCCUUGUACACACCGCCCGUCACACCAUGAGAGUUGAGAAUACCCGAAGCCCAUGUCAAAGUGGUCGAAGGUAGGCUUGAUGAUUGGGGUGAAGUCGUAACAAGGUAAC